GCAAGUCGAGGGGUAACAGAGGUAGCUUGCUACUUGCUGACGCCCGGCGCACGGGUGCGUAACGCGUAUGAAACCUACCUAAUACAGGGAGAUAGCCCAGAGAAAUUUGGAUUAAUACCCCCUUAUACUGUGAAUCCGCAUGGUUUUAUAGUUAAAGAUUUAUCGGUAUUAGAUGGUCAUGCGUUCUAUUAGUUAGUUGGUAAGGUAACGGCUUACCAAGACUACGAUAGAUAGGGGCCCUGAGAGGAGGAUC
rnacentral:rRNA from 1 species